CUUUACUGUAGCUUUGCAUUGGACUUUGAACCGGUCUGUGUAGGAUAGGUGGGAGGCUUUGAAGUGAGGACGCUAGUUCUCAUGGAGCCGUCCUUGAAAUACCACCCUGAUUUGUUUGAGGUUCUAACCAUGGCCUGUGAAUCCAGGUCUGGGACCGUGCAUGGUAGGCAGUUUGACUGGGGCGGUCUCCUCCCAAAGUGUAACGGAGGAGUACGAAGGUACGCUAGGUACGGUCGGACAUCGUGCUAAUAGUGCAAUGGCAAAAGCGUGCUUGACUGCGAGUCCCACAAGACGAGCAGGUACGAAAGUAGGUCAUAGUGAUCCGGUGGUUCUGUAUGGAAGGGCCAUCGCUCAACGGAUAAAAGGUA
rnacentral:rRNA from 1 species